rnacentral:rRNA from 1 species
UACAGAGGGGCCAGCGUUAUUCGGAAUUACUGGGCGUAAAGCGCACGUAGGCGGCUUCUUAAGUCGGUGGUGAAAUCCUGGAGCUCAACUCCAGAACUGCCUUCGAUACUGGGAGCUCGAGUCCGGGAGAGGUGAGUGGAACUGCGAGUGUAGAGGUGAAAUUCGUAGAUAUUCGCAAGAACACCAGUGGCGAAGGCGGACUCACUGGCCCGGUACUGACGCUGAGGUGCGAAAGCG